rnacentral:sRNA from 1 species
GCCGGGCAUGGUGGUGCAUGCCUGUAAUCCCAGCAGCUUGGGAGGCUGAGGCAGGAGGAUUGCAAGUUUGAGGCCAACCUCAACAACUUAGUGAGGACCUAAGCAAAUUAGUAAGACCCUGCCUCAA